rnacentral:rRNA from 1 species
AACCCUCCCCUCAAGUGGUCAGGAUGAUUAUUGGGCCUAAAGCAUCCGUAGCCUGUUCUGUAAGUUUUCGGUUAAAUCUAUGCGCUCAACGUAUAGGCUGCCGAAAAUACUGCAGAACUAGGGAGUGGGAGAGGUAGACGGUACUCGGUAGGAAGGGGUAAAAUCCUUUGAUCUAUUGAUGACCACCUGUGGCGAAGGCGGUCUACCAGAACACGUUCGACGGUGAGGGAUGAAAGCUGGGGGAGCAAACCGG